AGGGCACCACCAGGAGUGGAGCCUGCGGCUUAAUUUGACUCAACACGGGAAAACUCACCCGGCCCGGACACUGGAAGGAUUGACAGAUUGAGAGCUCUUUCUUGAUUCAGUGGGUGGUGGUGCAUGGCCGUUCUUAGUUGGUGGAGCGAUUUGUCUGGUUAAUUCCGAUAACGAACGAGACUCUAGCCUACUAAAUAGAUCGUCGGCUUACAAACGCCGAUGAGACUUCUUAGAGGGACAGGCGGCGAUUCAGCCGCACGAAACAGAGCAAUAACAGGUCUGUGAUGCCCUUAGAUGUCCGGGGCCGCACGCGCGCUACACUGAAGCGAUCAGCGUGCAUUUUCAGCCUACUCUGCCAAGAGUGGGAAACCCAAUGAACCUUCUUCGUGAUUGGGAUAGGGGAUUGUAAUUAUUCCCCUUGAACGAGGAAUUCCCAGUAAGCGCGGGUCAUAAGCUCGCGUUGAUUACAUCCCUGCCCUUUGUACACACCGCCCGUCGCUACUACCGAUUGAAUGUUUA
rnacentral:rRNA from 1 species